AUUGAACGCUGGCGGCAUGCUUUACACAUGCAAGUCGGACGAGUGGCGAACGGGUGAGUAACGCAUCGGAACGUACCGAGUAAUGGGGGAUAACUGUCCGAAAGGACAGCUAAUACCGCAUAUUAUUCGAGCGGCCGAUGUCUGAUUAGCUGGUUGGCGGGGUAAAGGCCCACCAAGGCGACGAUCAGUAGCUGGUCUGAGAGGAUGAUCCGCCAAACGGGGACUGAGACACGGCACAGACUCCUACGGGAGGAAGCAGUGGGGAAGUUUGGAAAAUGGGCGCAAGCCUGAUACAGCCAUGCGGCGUGUCUGAAGAAGGCCUUCGGGUUGUAAAGGACUUUAAGUGGGGAGGCGUUACCAACAGAAUAAGCACCGGCUAACGUCGUGCCAGCAGCCGCGGUAAUAC
rnacentral:rRNA from 1 species